GGGGAUAACUACUGGAAACGGUAGCUAAUACCGCAUAACGUCGCAAGACCAAAGAGGGGGACCUUCGGGCCUCUUGCCAUCAGAUGUUGCCCAGAUGGGAUUAGCUAGUAGGUGGGGUAACGGCUCACCUAGGGCGACGAUCCCUAGCUGGUCUGAGAGGAUGACCAGCCACACUGGAACUGAGACACGGUCCAG
rnacentral:rRNA from 1 species